rnacentral:rRNA from 1 species
UACGUAGGUGGCAAGCGUUGUCCGGAAUUAUUGGGCGUAAAGGGCUCGUAGGCGGUUUGUCGCGUCGGGAGUGAAAACUCAGGGCUUAACCCUGAGCCUGCUUCCGAUACGGGCAGACUAGAGGUAUGCAGGGGAGAACGGAAUUCCCGGUGUAGCGGUGAAAUGCGCAGAUAUCAGGAGGAACACCAGUGGCGAAGGCGGUUCUCUGGGCAUUACCUGACGCUGAGGAGCGAAAGUGUGGGGAGCGAACAGG